AUGGUAAUGGGCGCUGUAGGAGAGAAGAAUAACGUCGUGGGAGAGUCAAAAAAACCUGAGCCCUAUGACCAUGCCCCAGGAUUACCUAUCAUGAUGACUCCUUGCUGUCCCCAGUCCACCUGGCCGUGCUGCUGCUCCAGUUUCAACUGUUCUGCCUGCGGCGAUGGAACCCUGACCUGUUCACCGGACGUGCUACCUGUCCCAGGCCUGCUGUUUUCAACUCUCUGGAGACAGCAGGAGCAGUAGAGAUAUUCUCAAUGAUCGGCUAUGAAAAGCCAACUGACAUUUACUCCUGAGGUGCUGACCUGUUACACCCCGACAACUACUGUGAUUAUUAUUAUUAUUUGACCAUGCUGGUCAUUCAGAACAUUUGAACAUCUUGGCCAUGUUCUGUUAUAAUCUCCACCCGGCACAGCCAGAAGAGGACUGGCCACCCCUCAUAGCCUGGUUCCUCUCUAGGUUUCUUCCUAGGUUUUGGCCUUUCUAGGGAGUUUUUCCUAGCCAUCGUGCUUCUACACCUGCAUUGCUUGCUGUUUGGGGUUUUAGGCUGGGUUUCUGUACAGCAAUUUGAGAUAUCAGCUGAUCUAAGAAGGACUAUAUAAAUACAUUUGAUUUGAUUUAGACAUACAGUAGCUACAGGACAGCAGCUUAAGCUUAAUUAAAGCUACAGUCUGGGAUCUGGGAAUAAUGGUGAUUUUAGUUAUUGAACUGUUGAUUCUAUUCUUGGAUAACAUAAUAUAUAAAGGUAAUUCAGGGGUCUUAGCAGAGUCUGGCAGCCAGGGAAGAUCAGUCUGUGACAGAGGUGAGGCGAAUGUUUGCAGAUACAACACUUUUUGUCUCUCUUCAGCAAACACUGGACAAGCCAGAUGCUAUUUUUUGUGAUAUUGUGAAGGCUGGCUGAAUUCUAGCAAAGAGCAUGUUCUUCUAUCUCAGCAUAUCUACAGAUUCUCUCUUCUCCUUUUUUUGUUUUCUUGGAAAUGUUGAUACUGGAGACUUAUCAGAAGAAACUGUAAUCUAGUACGUCAUUUCUGGUCACAACUUGUAGACUUGUUUACAUGCUGCUGUGCAGUUUGUUGCUAACGUUACUUUGCUACCUGCCAACUUUACAGUUUCUACUUUUUAAUGUUUUAUAUUUACAUUUUUCCCUUGCUCUACUUUUUUCAUUCAACUUUUUCACUCCGGCCGCUUUAUCUGGACAUGGUUCUACAGGACCUCCACCAGCCGAAGCUAAGUAGUAACAUUAACAUUGUGCCUUCUAAUGUUUGCUGUUUGGGGUUUUAGGCUGGGUUUCUUUACAGCACUUUGAGAUAUCAGCUGUCCUUCCAGAAGGACAACCAUCUCUGCAAUCUCUUCAGCCCUCCACCAAUCUGGCCUUCGUGGUAGAUAGGCCAGACGGAAGCCACUCCUCAGUAUAAGGCACAAGCCAGCCCGCUUGGAGUUUGCCAAAAGGCACCUAAAGACCAUGAGAAACAUGAUUCUCUGGCCUGAUGGUGGCAGCAUCAGGCCGUGGGGAUGUUUUCCAGCGGCAGGGACUGGGAGACUUGUCAGGAUCAAGGGAAAGAUGAACGAAACAAAGUGCAGAGAGAUCCUUGAUGAAAACCUGCUCCAGAGUGCUCAGGACCACAGACUGGGGCGAAGGUUCACCUUCCAACAGGACAACGACACGAAGCACACAGCCAAGACAAAGCAGGAGUGGCUUCGGGGACAAGUCUCUGAAUGUCCUUGAGUGGCCCAGCCAGAGCCCGGACGUGAACGCGAUCGAACAUCUCUAGAAAGACCUGAAAAUAGCUGUGCAGCAACACUCCCCAUCCAACCUGAUAGAGCUUGAGAAGAUCUGCAGAGAAGAAUGUGAGAAACUCCCCAAAUAUUUUUUUCUUUGUUUUAUUUCUCCUUUAUUUAACCAGGUGGGCCAGUUGAGAACAAGUUCUCAUUUACAACUGCUACCUGGCCAAGAUAAAUCAAAGCUGUGUGACUAAAACAACAACAAAGAGUUACAUGUAAACAAAUGUACAGUCAAUAACACAAAAGAAAGAGAAAUGUACAGUGUAUGCAAAUGUAGAAGAGUAGGGAGGCAGGCAAUACAUAGGCCUUCUAGAUUUAUUUUGGAUUGGAGAUGCUUAAUGUGAGUCUGGAAGGAGGAAAUACAGGUGUACCAAGCCUGUAGCGUCAUACUCAAGCAGACUCAAGGCUUUAAUCGCUGCCGAAGGUGCCGAAGGUGCUUCAACAAAGUACGGAGUAAAGGGUCUGAAUACUUAUGUAAAUGUAAUGUUUCCUGUUUUUUUUUUUAGAUACAUUUGAAUUAUUUUAAUUAUUUUAAAUGACGGUUUUUGCUUUGUCAUUAUGGGGUAUUGUGUGUAGAUUGAUGAGGGGAGGAAAAAACAAUUGCAUCCAUUUUAGAAUAAGGCUGUAAUGUAAAAGAUGUGGAAAAAGUCAAGGGGUCUGAAAAAGCCAAAAACAACCACUUUUACAGGUGAAAACAGGGUCGGAUUAACAAAUCUUAUGCCCCGGAGCUUUGUUUUUUUUAAGCCCCUAAAUAGAAAUAUUUUAUAGCAUUAUAUUCUUACUAUAAAAUGUAUGUGUGUUGUUGACUGUGAUUAAGGCGUGGGAUUAUAAGCAUCUCUUCUCGAAAAUAAAUGAAUGAAAUAGG